rnacentral:lncRNA from 1 species
GUGUCACAUGGGAUGAGGACUUUGAGCACGGAAAGAGUUACAUGGAGAAAGGUUUGAGAAGCUGAAGGAGGUGCUCUGGGUUUCCCUGGGUUUGCACACAAGCUCAGCCCAACAGGCACUGCCAAUAACUACACAGGGAGAGUGCACGAGGCCAAGCCCCUUCGUCCUUGCUGCCAUCACAAGAGAAGCUAUGCAAGCGUAUUCCAAGUGGGGACCUCGAACCACAAAGCUGGAGUAAGAGAAACAGAAUGAAAGGAAUACAUGGCCGCAUUUGAGGAGUGCAGGAUUAUAUCAGCACUUGGGAUGAACAAGAAGAAGAAGAAAAAGAAGGAGGAGGAGGAGAAGGAGAAGAAGGAGGAGGAGAAGAAGAGACCAGACUUUUGAGAGCAGCCUGACUGGCAUAGUGAAACUGUAUCUUUAAAAACAAGACAGAGAAAUGUUUAUAUUUUUUUUAUUUUCUCCUUUUAUAGUUAUAUGUUAUUUAUUUAUUUUUUAGAAAAUAUUUUUACAUAUAUAUACACAUAUUUAUAUAUCUUACUCUCUUCUCUCUUUUGGCACCCUCAGGUUAGUAUCCUUUGUUCUUCUAGACAGUAUUACAUAUUUAUUGUAUGUACUUAUUGUAUUAUAUAUUUAAUGUGCAUAUAUAUGAUUUCAUGCAACUGUACAAAAUCUAGGAAUCACAAAUUAAAGAAAACUUAUGAUAGUUACACAUCA